GACGAACCGUGCGAACGUUGUUCGGAAUCACUGGGCUUAAAGGGCGCGUAGGCGGCUCCGAAAGUCCGGGGUGAAAGCCCCCAGCUCAACUGGGGAAGUGCCUCGGAUACUGCGGAGCUCGAGGGAGGUAGGGGCGGAUGGAACUUCCGGUGGAGCGGUGAAAUGCGUUGAUAUCGGAAGGAACGCCGGUGGUGAAAGCGAUCCGCUGGCCCUCUACUGACGCUGAGGCGCGAAAGCCAGGGGAGCAAACGGG
rnacentral:rRNA from 1 species